rnacentral:misc_RNA from 1 species
UCCGGUUUGUCACCGGCAGUCUCGCAUGAGUCCCCAACUAAAUGCUGGCAACAUGCGACAGGGGUUACGCUCGUUGCGGGACUUAACCCAACAUCUCACGACACGAGCUGACGACAGCCAUGCAGCACCUGUCACCGGUCCAGCCGAACUGAAGGAUACGAUCUCUCGUAUCCGCGACCGGGAUGUCAAGGGCUGGUAAGGUUCUGCGCGUUGCUUCGAAUUAAUCCGCAUGCUCCGCCGCUUGUGCGGGUCCCCGUCAAUUCCUUUGAGUUUUAGCCUUGCGGCCGUACUCCCCAGGCGGGGCGCUUAAUGCGUUAGCUACGGCACAGAGACCGUGGAAUGGCCCCCACACCUAGCGCCCAACGUUUACGGCGUGGACUAC